GAGGAAGAGCACACCGCGAUCAAUAUAUCAAAUUCCUCUCAAAGAAAAGAUAAGAUUGAUCAACCUUUGCAACUCAUUUGAUCUGUUAUUACAAUCCACAGGUUUCUGAAUGGCAGAUGAAUCUAAAAAAAUGCGAAAGCAAGAGAAACCUACAAUCGCUAUCCCGAAUCCGAGCAUAACCGCCAUGUGCCGAGCAUCGUCCGUACCGACAUCCCCGGUCGGACUAGCCAAUGCCAAAAGCCUCAAAAGCAGCUGCCUUUGCUCACCAACCACGCAUGCCGGCUCCUUUCGUUGCCGCUAUCACAGGAACACGAUCCUCACGCGCAACAGCAUGUCCGUUGGCACCAAGCUCUCGGAGCUCGGGGCCAACAUGCCUGUCCCCCCCAAGCUAGGAGCCGUUGCUGGCAAUAGUGACGCCUCGUAAUCAUCAGAGCCCUUGAAUAGGCUCUUGAUUAAUUAGAUUGUGAUGUGUAUUGCUUUCUAGGCCUUAUUAUACAACCGUAACUUGUAGAACUUAUGCAGAUCCUCUCUUCAUGUUUGUGUUUGUGUUCGUGUUUGUGCUCGUGUCAACGGGUAACAAGCAUCGCCUCUGUUAUAAUCGAAAGAUGAUGAUUUUACGAGUACAAAACAACCUGUUUUAAUGC